AUUGAACGCUGGCGGCAGGCUUAACACAUGCAAGUCGAGCGAGCGGCGGACGGGUGAGUAAUGUCUGGGCAACUGCCUGAUGGAGGGGGAUAACUAGUGGAAACGGUAGCUAAUACCGCAUAACAUCAGAUGUGCCCACAUGGGAUUAGCUAGUAGGUGGGGUAAUGGUUAAUCUAGGGGACGAUCCCUAGCUGGUCUGAGAGGAGGACCAGCCACACUGGAACUGAGACACGGGCCAGACUCCUACGGGAGGCAGCAGUGGGGAAUAGUGCACAAUGGGCGCAAGCCUGAUGCAGCCAUGCCGCGUGUGUGAAGAAGGCCUUCGGUUUGUAAAGCACUUUCAGCGAGGAGGCGUUACUCGCAGAAGAAGCACCGGCUAACUCCGUGCCAGCAGCCGCGGUAAUUC
rnacentral:rRNA from 1 species